rnacentral:rRNA from 1 species
GCUCUUACACUCUCCCCCCCCAAUAAUUAAUCUUUCCUCCCCGGACAAAGAUGAGGUAAGUCGUAACAAGGUAAGUGUACCGGAAGGUGCGCUUAGCAUAUC